AUUGAACGCUGGCGGCACGCCUAACACAUGCAAGUCGAGCGGCAGCGAGACUAGUAGCAAUACUAGUUGUCGGCGAGCGGCGGACGGGUGAGUAACACGUAGGAAUCUGCCCUUAAGCGGGGGAUAACCAAGGGAAGCUUUGGCUAAUACCGCAUAAUCUCGAGAGAGCAAAGCUGCCCGCAAGGGUGGCACUUGAGGAGGAGCCUGCGUCCGAUUAGCUAGUUGGUGGGGUAAUGGCCUACCAAGGCGAUGAUCGGUAACUGGUCUGAGAGGACGACCAGUCACACUGGGACUGAGACACGGCCCAGACUCCUACGGGAGGCAGCAGUGGGGAAUAUUGGACAAUGGGGGCAACCCUGAUCCAGCGAUGCCGCGUGAGUGAAGAAGGCCUUCGGGUCGUAAAGCUCUUUAGGUUGGGAAGAAGUGUAUUGGCUGAAUAAUCCAGUACAUUGACGGUACCGACAGAAUAAGCACCGGCAAACUCUGUGCCAGCAGCCGCGGUAACAC
rnacentral:rRNA from 1 species